UACGAAGGGAGCUAGCGUUGUUCGGAAUCACUGGGCGUAAAGCGCACGUAGGCGGAUUUGUCAGUCGGGGGUGAAAUCCCGAGGCUCAACCUCGGAACUGCCUCCGAUACAGCAAAUCUCGAGUCCGGGAGAGGUGGGUGGAAUUCCUAGUGUAGAGGUGAAAUUCGUAGAUAUUAGGAAGAACACCAGUGGCGAAGGCGGCCCACUGGCCCGGUACUGACGAUGAGGUGCGAAAGCGUGGGGAGCAAACAGG
rnacentral:rRNA from 1 species